GAGAAACACUCUCGCCGUAAGCCCAAGGGUUCCUGCGCAAGGCUAAUCCGCGCAGGGUGAGUCGGCCCCUAAGGCGAGGCCGAAAGGCGUAGUCGAUGGGAAACAGGUUAAUAUUCCUGUACUUGUAUUUAUUGCGAUGGAGGGACGGAGUAGGCUAGGCCAGCGCGGCGAUGGUUGUCCGCGUUUAAGCAUGUAGGCUGGGGAUUUAGGUAAAUCCGGAUCCCUAAGGCUGAGACGUUAUGACGAAAGGAUCCAACGUGAUCCUGAAGUGGUUAAUGCCAUGCUUCCAGGAAAAGCUUCUAAGCUUCAGAUAAAUACGAACCGUACCCCAAACCGACACAGGUGGUCAGGUAGAGAAUACCAAGGCGCUUGAGAGAACUCGGGUGAAGGAACUAGGCAAAAUGGCACCGUAACUUCGGGAGAAGGUGCGCCACUUUUGGUGAUGGGACUUGCUCCCUAAGCCGAGGGUGGUUGAAAAUACCAGGUGGCUGCGACUGUUUACUAAAAACACAGCACUCUGCAAACACGUAAGUGGACGUAUAGGGUGUGACGC
rnacentral:rRNA from 9 species